CCCUCCCCGCUCCUGACCUCACAGUCUGCCCACUGUGAGCCGUGCAGGCAGCUGUCAUGGCACUCUUUGGAGGAUGCUAAUGAUUCUGUAGGACCAGAGAGCUCAAUCCAAAUGCAGGGUGGUGGAAUACUAAGGAUAUGGACCCCAACUGAGAUCAAGUUCCCACUGUUCAGCGUGUUGCAGAAUCAAAACAAAAGGAAACCUAUGAGGGACACAUAGACCACACCAUCAAUCAAGGUCACAGCAUUCGCAGGGGAAAAGGACACGGUGAGGAUGGGCGUGGGUGUAUGUGAAGAGACUGAGAGACUAUGGAGAGAAAAGAGUUUCAGGGAUCACGAUGAUCUGUGAUGCACUGAUUAAUGAUACUGAAUAAAAAGCCACAUGUUCCAUUUGUACACAAAAAAAAAAAAAAAAAAAAAAAAAGUGAAUUAAUGUAAAAAAUUUGCAAUAGCCUAGAAAAUUAUUC